rnacentral:rRNA from 1 species
AAUCAACGCUGGCGGCGUGCCUAACACAUGCAAGUCGAACGCGAAAGCCCUUUCGGGGGGUAAGUAGAGUGGCGUCCGGGUGAGUAACACGUAGGUAAUCUACCUUCGGGUGGGGAAUAACCAGUCGAAAGAUUGGCUAAUACCGCAUAAUGCAGCGGCACCUAAUGGUGAUUAGUUGUUAAAGCGGGGGAGUCGUAAGACCUCGCGCCUGAAGAGGAGCCUGCGGCAGAUUAGCUAGUUGGGAGGUAAUGGCUCACCAAGGCUUCGAUCUGUAGCUGGUCUGAGAGGACGGCCAGCCACACUGGCACUGACAC